GAUCCGCCCCCCUCAGGUGCUAAUAACUUCACCUUAAUGAGAGGCUACGGUAGUGGCAGGGUUCGAAAUGAGGUGGGUCUGGGGGGGGUCCCGGACCCCCCAUAAGUCAUUAGGGACCCCCUAUAAGAAUUUAUUUUUAGAUUUUGGGGGGUCCCCGACAAAUAUUUUUAACAUUAAAAAUGAUUGUGAAAAUUAUAGGUCUUUAGUGACGUUUUAUAUUUAUAACAAUAAUUAAUGUAUUUCCUAGCGCGAUUGGGCAGCAAUCAGGGCAGCUAAUAGCAUCACAGAUUGUUGUUGUGGUCCUCCGGCGCAUACAGUACAGUCUAUGGCGCAGUAUGUUAUUGUUGAACGCGGCAAAAACGAAGCCUCACAAAGAGUGAAAUCCCUAAUGAAAAUCCUAAUCCUGCAUCAUGGAGAGAGAAAGCGGGAAAAAGAAAGAUCACCGACUUUUUUCAAGGAUAGCAGCCUGGCUCCAUGUCGGUGUGGGUGGAGACCAUCAUACUACAGCUCCUCACCGUGCCAUUGAUGCCCGGCAUAUCCAUAUCUACCCUGGAAUUAUGCAGAAAACCCAGCUCCAAAGAAAUUAAGAUUUUGACAAUUCUAUUCCUAAAGUGCCUGACUUUGCACUGCCCCCAAAUGGCCAAAUAUGGCUCCCCGUUGACUUUGUAUGUAUGUAUGUGGCGUUUUCUUUUUGCGGGGUACAAAUAUUCCACCAGAACAAGUUUUUGCAGAGCCACGCAAGCUGCGUCCGGAGCUUAGCGCCACCCAAGAUGAUUGUUUGGUUUAAAGAAAUGCAAACAACCCAAAGCAUUUUUGUUGUUGUUGUGGAAACAUGGCUGAACAACAAAAUAUGAAUUUAUAGUGUGGUGUGUCUCAUUAGUACCACAUAGCAGAACAGGUCUGCAUUGGUCUGGGGUGUUUGGGUCCCAUAACUUUGACGCUAUCGAGCAAAAAGCCGUUUUCCAUAGGAAAUGAAUGGGGUUCUUAAAAAAAUGUAAAUCGAGUUGCCAGGUAAUAUCUGUAAUUUGAAAGGUAAUAUCUGUAAUUUGAAAAGAAUACAAGAUAAUUUUGUAAACUAAAUUACAAUAAAGUGUUGUUUUCCUGUAAAAAAAAACACACAAUACAUUGC